UGGCGGACGGGUGAGUAAUGUCUGGGGAACUGCCUGAUGGAGGGGGAUAACUACUGGAAACGGUAGCUAAUACCGCAUAACGUCGCAAGACCAAAGAGGGGGACCUUAGGGCCUCUUGCCACCGGAUGUGCCCAGAUGGGAUUAGCUAGUAGGUGGGGUAACGGCUCACCUAGGCGACGAUCCCUAGCUGGUCUGAGAGGAUGACCAGCCACGCUGGAACUGAGACACGGUCCAG
rnacentral:rRNA from 1 species